UACGUAGGGGGCGAGCGUUGUCCGGAAUCAUUGGGCGUAAAGCGCGUGUAGGCGGCUUAUCAAGUCAGGCGUGAAAUUCCCGGGCUCAACCUGGGGGCUGCGCUUGAUACUGAUGAGCUUGAAUGCGGGAGAGGAUAGUGGAAUUCCCAGUGUAGAGGUGAAAUUCGUAGAUAUUGGGAGGAACACCGGUGGCGAAGGCGGCUACCUGGACCGGUACUGACGCUGAGGCGCGAAAGCUAGGGUAGCAAACAGU
rnacentral:rRNA from 1 species